rnacentral:rRNA from 1 species
CACGUAGUUAGCCGGGGCUUCCUCCUCAAGUACCGUCAUUAUCUUCCUUGAGGACAGAGCUUUACGACCCGAAGGCCUUCAUCGCUCACGCGGCGUUGCUGCAUCAGGCUUUCGCCCAUUGUGCAAUAUUCCCCACUGCUGCCUCCCGUAGGAGUCUGGACCGUGUCUUAGUUCCAGUGUGGCCGAUCACCCUCUCAGGUCGGCUACUGAUCGUCGCCUUGGUAAGCCGUUACCUUACCAACUAGCUAAUCAGACGCGGGUCCAUCCUGUACCGCCGGAGCUUUGAUAUAAAAGCCAUGCGACUUUCAUAUGUUAUCCCGUAUUAGCAUACCUUUCGGUAUGUUAUCCGUGUGUACAGGGCAGGUUACCCACGCGUUACUCACCCGUCCGCCGCUCUUCUCCGAAGAGAAUCGCUCGACUUGCAUGUGUUAGGCACGCCGCCAGCGUUCAUCCUGAGCCGAGGAUCAAAACUCU